AGAGGAAGUAAAGGUCGUACAGGUUUCCGUAGGUGACCUGCGAAGGAAUCAAUA
rnacentral:rRNA from 1 species